rnacentral:rRNA from 1 species
CAGUCGCCGCGGUAAUACGGAGGGUGCAAGCGUUAAUCGGAAUUACUGGGCGUAAAGCGCACGCAGGCGGUCUGACAAGUCAGAUGUGAAAUCCCCGGGCUUAACCUGGGAACUGCAUUUGAAACUGUCAGGCUGGAGUCUUGUAGAGGGGGGUGGAAUUCCAGGUGUAGCGGUGAAAUGCGUAGAGAUCUGGAGGAAUACCGGUGGCGAAGGCGGCCCCCUGGACGAAGACUGACGCUCAGGUGCGAAAGCGUGGGGAGCAAACAGGAUUAGAUACCCGAGUAGUCCCUGUCUCUUAUAC